UGUGCGAAUUGAUUAAAGUGCUUUUGCACGAAUAUUACCCGAAAUAAUUCAACUUUUUGAAUUAUCGAAGUUUCGAAAUAUUCGUUUUAACAAAAGCUCGAAUUGUGCGAUUCAAGAAAAAUCGACUUUUCUACGUACGGAAUUUGGGAAAAACUUCCUUCAUAAAAGUUGUAGAGCUCGUCGAUAUGAUCGCGUGCAUAUGUCGAACGAAAUUUUUGGAGUUCGUACGAUUAUGUUACGAAUUUUGGAAAUAUGAGAUUCUUUUUAUAAUCUCUUUUCCUCGGAUUCUCUUUUAGAAAUUUCUUUUUCUUCCUUUUCCUUUUCCUUUUCCUUUCCUCCGGGUCUCCUUCCUUCUUUUUCUUUUUCUCUUUUUUUUUCUUCUUUCUCUCUCUCGCUCGACCGAAACCGAAAACAGAGCAAAGGCUCUUCGGUCUCUCUCUACCUCCACCGGCCACCAAACGGCGUCGAACCACUUCCUUUUGCUUCGUCUCAGCCUUGCGCAGCUGCCAGAGGCAGCCUUGCACCGUGACACGGCCACCAGCGGCGGCGGGAAGCUCCGCCCGGUUUGAGCUCGUUUUGGAAACAAGCUUGAUAUCUCAAGCUACCGGUCACCAAUCCUCACCAAAAUCCAUCCACAAGCUCGCCUCAACUUCCUGAAACUCCCAGAAGCAGCCUCACACGGCGGCGUGGCCCGUAGCAGUGGCUGCAAGUCAAACCCAACCAAGAACGAGACCGGAGCUAUCGAUCAAGAUAUCUCGAGCUGUAGUGCAUCGUUUUGAUUGAUUCUUUUUCCAGUGGGUUCCCCUUGAUGUUAUUAACAACUCUCUAGAAGGUAUCGAGGCCUGAAAUUGAAGCUUUGACGUCGAAAUCGAGCCUUGCCGGAUUCUGCAAAAUUCUGGAAUUUUUCCGACCACCGAAGCUUUCGAUCGGUAUAUCUCGAGCUACAGACCAUAUUUUUCUGUGAUUCUUGAACCAGUGAGUUCUUCUUGAGUUUCUUAACAACUCUUCAGAAGGAAUCGAAGCCUUAAAUUGACGUUUUUACGUCGAAUUGGAGCUCGCCGUUUUCUGCAGUUUCUCGCCGGUUUCUGGAAAAUUCCGGCCACCUUCAUACUGUUCAAGGUGAUCGACGGUUUGAUUUGGCGGACGAUUCGUGAAAUUGUAUUUUGAGCUGUUAAGAAGACGCAGCGGGAAUUUAGAGCGGGUAAUCCUACAGGACAGGAGAACCAGGACGGUGAUCGUGCGGUUAGAGCAAUGGUUAUAGUUUUACAGCAAUUGUAAUAGUGAGGCGAGUUAAGCUCAUUUGAGCAUUACAAUUUGAUUUGGUGGGAGUGUGCUGUAAUAAAUAACUUGAGGAUUUGGGUUAUUGUAAAUUUGAGAGUUGUGAAGUGUGGUUGUUUGUGAGAAAAAAAUUCAGGAUGUUAGUUGUAAUUUGUUAUUAUUCAUGUUUCGGAUUUGAAUUGAUUAUUCAA